rnacentral:lncRNA from 1 species
CUGGCCCAGCCCAGCCCAGCCCCACCACGAAGUUUGGGGGCCGCAAGUGCGAGGAGGUGGCGGCGGAGCGAGGGGAGCGCAGGCCCGGCCAGGGCGGCAGGUGCUCCGGGGCACGAAGCCCCCUCGGACAGGAGCGCGCGGAGGCUGUGUUUUGGAAAGGCGGACAUUCAGAUAACUCUGCCCAACUGCUUAAUUUAAAAAUAUUCUGAAGUGUAGAAAAAGAAACGGCCCGAAUCGCCCCAUUCCUCAGAGGAAGGGGAGAGGGAACACAUCGGCUUCGGUGAAGCUGAAAACGCUUAUUCCGUACAUCGUUGCUCGCCGUACGAUUUCGGGGAGCGCCCGGGCGGCUCCUUCGGCGGACGUGCUCGCGGCGGCAGGGCGACGCGCUGGAGCGGCGCUGCCUCGUCCCGUGGUCGCGGAGCGGGUGUCCCCCACCACGGUGCUCCGCCAGCGACACCGCGGCUGUAGGUGUUAGCAGCUGGGAGGAGAAGGGUUGGCGCCUUUGAUCUCCCUAGUGACUGAAACGAGUGAGCAGCGGUGACAGCCAGCCAAAUGAUUUACCCGAAAGAACACCUUCUAAGGAGUUUUUCAAGACUGUCUUCACCUCCGUGAAUGAAGACCCACAGGAAGAGCCAAUCGGGUGCCCACUGAAGUCAACGAACGGUACUGGUGGCCUUCGAUGGACAUUUGAUAAGACCAGCAAUGGCAGAGCUUUGGCUGCGAAGGUGGAGAGAUACUGGCUCCAACACUGCAGGAAGAUGCCAUACUGUCAUGUGCUAUGGACGAAGGCAUUCAGGACCAGAUCUGCAUGGAAGAGUGCACAGGCUCUUCCUAGCACGCUGACCCUGGGAUACUUCAGCAUGCACUGA